rnacentral:rRNA from 1 species
AGGAUGAACGCUAGCGACAGGCUAACACAUGCAAGUCGAGGGGCAUCACGGGAGUAGCAAUACAACUGGUGGCGACCGGCGCACGGGUGAGUAACGCGUAUGCAACCUACCUAUCAGAGGGGAAUAACCGGCGAAAGUCGGACUAAUACCGCAUAAAACAGGGGCACCGCAUGGUGAUAUUUGUUAAAGAAAUUCGCUGAUAGAUGGGCAUGCGUUCCAUUAGGUAGUUGGUGAGGUAACGGCUCACCAAGCCGACGAUGGAUAGGGGAACUGAGAGGUUGGUCCCCCACACUGGUACUGAGACACGGACCAGACUCCUACGGGAGGCAGCAGUGAGGAAUAUUGGUCAAUGGGCGGGAGCCUGAACCAGCCAAGUCGCGUGAAGGAAGAAGGAUCUAUGGUUCGUAAACUUCUUUUGCAGGGGAAUAAAGUGCAGGACGUGUCCUGUUUUGUAUGUACCCUGAGAAUAAGGAUCGGCUAACUCCGUGCCAGCCGCCGC